rnacentral:lncRNA from 1 species
GUCUUCAAAUUUUAAGGACUUUCUAAAGAAAUGCUUGGAAAAGAAUGUGGAUGCGCGGUGGACCACAUCCCAGCUGUUACAGGUGAGACAGGACAGUGUGAUGCCGACAAGUCAGAGUGUCUUAGCAUUGUCUUUGAGAGGAUGCACUGUCAGAGCCCUUCAUUGUUCACCCUGUCCACUUGGGUGUCUCUGUGGAAAAGCAUUACGUAGCUGUUUACAUGACCUAGGAGCACAUGUGUUGUCAUUAUUCACAGGCAUUUAGUCUGUAAAUGGUCUCUCCUGUGUAAUUAUGUUCUGUUUGUUGUAAUAGCUAUUUGCAUGCUCUCUCUAAUGACU